rnacentral:ribozyme from 11 species
UAUUGGAAUUUUUCUCAUCUUUUUUGCCUUUUUUACCUUCCUUAUUUUUUUUACCGUCUUUCUUGUCUUUUUUAUCUUUCUUCAGGGCACGGAGGGUCGGUGCGAAGUAGAUAUUCGCGGCUGUUGCCACCUCGAACAGCACACAUCAAGGUGAGUAGAAAGAUGUUCUAUAUAGUUCAACUGUACUUUUAAAAAAUCUUUUUGAAGGAUGUGAAAAAUGUGUCAAAAAAAAAAAGU